GACGUAGGGCGCGAGCGUUGUCCGGAUUUAUUGGGCGUAAAGAGCUCGUAGGCGGCUCGUUGCGUCGGCUGUGAAAACCCGCAGCUCAACUGUGGGCUUGCAGCUGAUACGGGCGGGCUGGAGUUCGGUAGGGGAGACUGGAAUUCCUGGUGUAGCGGUGAAAUGCGCAGAUAUCAGGAGGAACACCGGUGGCGAAGGCGGAUCUCUGGGCCGUAACUGACGCUGAGGAGCGAAAGCAUGGGUAGCGAACAGG
rnacentral:rRNA from 1 species